rnacentral:lncRNA from 1 species
CGCGCCUCCACCCAGCUCAGGAACCCGCGAACCCUCUCUUGACCACUAUGAGCCUCCCGUCCAGCCGCGCGGCCCGUGUCCCGGGUCCUUCGGGCUCCUUGUGCGCGCUGCUCGCGCUGCUGCUCCUGCUGACGCCGCCGGGGCCCCUCGCCAGCGCUGGUCCUGUCUCUGCUGUGCUGACAGAGCUGCGUUGCACUUGUUUACGCGUUACGCUGAGAGUAAACCCCAAAACGAUUGGUAAACUGCAGGUGUUCCCCGCAGGCCCGCAGUGCUCCAAGGUGGAAGUGGUCCUCCCUGAAGAACGGGAAGCAAGUUUGUCUGGACCCGGAAGCCCCUUUUCUAAAGAAAGUCAUCCAGAAAAUUUUGGACAGUGGAAACAAGAAAAACUGAGUAACAAAAAAGACCAUGCAUCAUAAAAUUGCCCAGUCUUCAGCGGAGCAGUUUUCUGGAGAUCCCUGGACCCAGUAAGAAUAAGAAGGAAGGGUUGGUUUUUUUCCAUUUUCUACAUGGAUUCCCUACUUUGAAGAGUGUGGGGGAAAGCCUACGCUUCUCCCUGAAGUUUACAGCUCAGCUAAUGAAGUACUAAUAUAGUAUUUCCACUAUUUACUGUUAUUUUACCUGAUAAGUUAUUGAACCCUUUGGCAAUUGACCAUAUUGUGAGCAAAGAAUCACUGGUUAUUAGUCUUUCAAUGAAUAUUGAAUUGAAGAUAACUAUUGUAUUUCUAUCAUACAUUCCUUAAAGUCUUACCGAAAAGGCUGUGGAUUUCGUAUGGAAAUAAUGUUUUAUUAGUGUGCUGUUGAGGGAGGUAUCCUGUUGUUCUUACUCACUCUUCUCAUAAAAUAGGAAAUAUUUUAGUUCUGUUUCUUGGGGAAUAUGUUACUCUUUACCCUAGGAUGCUAUUUAAGUUGUACUGUAUUAGAACACUGGGUGUGUCAUACCGUUAUCUGUGCAGAAUAUAUUUCCUUAUUCAGAAUUUCUAAAAAUUUAAGUUCUGUAAGGGCUAAUAUAUUCUCUUCCUAUGGUUUUAGACGUUUGAUGUCUUCUUAGUAUGGCAUAAUGUCAUGAUUUACUCAUUAAACUUUGAUUUUGUAUGCUAUUUUUUCACUAUAGGAUGACUAUAAUUCUGGUCACUAAAUAUACACUUUAGAUAGAUGAAGAAGCCCAAAAACAGAUAAAUUCCUGAUUGCUAAUUUACAUAGAAAUGUAUUCUCUUGGUUUUUUAAAUAAAAGCAAAAUUAACAAUGAUCUGUGCUCUGAAAGUUUUGAAAAUAUAUUUGAACAAUUUGAAUAUAAAUUCAUCAUUUAGUCCUCAAAAUAUAUAUAGCAUUGCUAAGAUUUUCAGAUAUCUAUUGUGGAUCUUUUAAAGGUUUUGACCAUUUUGUUAUGAGGAAUUAUACAUGUAUCACAUUCACUAUAUUAAAAUUGCACUUUUAUUUUUUCCUGUGUGUCAUGUUGGUUUUUGGUACUUGUAUUGUCAUUUGGAGAAACAAUAAA